rnacentral:rRNA from 1 species
CCCUUAGAUGUUCUGGGCCGCACGCGCGCUACACUGAUGCAUUCAACGAGUUUCUUCCUGGUCCGAGAGGAAUGGGUAACCUUUUGAAAGUGCAUCGUGAUAGGGAUAGACUAUUGCAAUUAUUGGUCUUCAACGAGGAAUUCCUAGUAGACGUAGUUCAUCAGACUGCAUCGAUUACGUCCCUGCCCUUUGUACACACCGCCCGUCGCUCCUACCGAUUGAAUGCUCAGGUGAGCCAUUCGGACUUUCAUCAUGCUGGUUUCCAGUUUUGAUAAAGGAAAGUCUUGCGAACCUUAUCAUUUAGAGGAAGGAGAAGUCGUAACA